ACAGAGGUUGCAAACGUUGUUCGGAAUCACUGGGCAUAAAGCGCACGUAGGCGGCCUGUUAAGUCAGGUGUGAAAGCCCCCGGCUCAACCGGGGAACAGCAUUUGAUACUGGCAGACUCGAGGAUGGUAGGGGUGAGUGGAACUCCAGGUGGAGCGGUGAAAUGCGUAGAUAUCUGGAGGAACACCGGUGGCGAAGGCGACAUCCUGGACCGGUAUUGACGCUGAGGCGCGAAAGCCAGGGGAGCAAACGGGA
rnacentral:rRNA from 1 species